UGAAAAAUAUUUUUAUAAACUUUAAAUGUAUUCAACGUGUUGUAGGAAUGUAGAAAUAUUGUAAGUUAUUAAUUUAAGCAUAUCCAGACAUCGAGAGGCCUACCCAGAUAGAUUACUAUCAUAAUGUAAUUUAUACACAUACUGUAAUUUACACACAUAUGGUUUUAAGUCAAGAAUGAUGGAUGGAGACUUGUGGAUCCUGUUGAUAAUAACCUUUAACCUAGCCUUGUAAGCCUGAAUUCCUGUGAAAUGUUCACAUUUCUAUAGGCAAUCAUUCAUUCCAUCAUGUAAUUAGAAGUCUCAAGAAGGUCUUUGUGUGUAACUUACCAAAACAUCAUAACGUAUGGCUUUAAUCAUAGAUAUCGAAUAAUACUAAGUUACCACCUAUUUUUUCUUAGAUAACCAAUUAUUGUAAAGCAGGCAAACCUUAUGUCAUUAUGUAUACGCCCUAUGUAAUUGAAUUUUAAAUGUAUAAAAUCCAUUGCAACUCCAAUACCAAUAGUAACACCAACGACCAAUACCUUUUAACAUCAAGCUUGGAUAAGAUCUAGAAGUGAAUAUACAUUGUCUAUUGGUCCAUAUGAUUUUAAAACAGACUUUUGUUGUUACCGGAUGAUGUGUAUAUUGUAAUAAAUAUACGGUUUUAACUGCAAGACACUCUGAUUCGAUUUGUUCAGAAAACUGGAAAACAAAUAUCUCACGGAAUGCAAAUUUCCUACAUUUAAUGGUGGAGAAUGCGGGCAUCUUGGAUUUAAGUCAGAAGGCAACUUUGAGUUAAGUCUGAAUUAUUACUGACUUAAUAUUUAAGUGUUCUGCUACAAACUACAAGAAGACAAGAAGAUAAGAAAAUCGCUGAAGAAAAGUUGAAAGUGUUCUCUGAAGAAAAGCUGUAGUACCCGGCUUGAAACAGGAGAAAAACAAGAGACUGAUUAACACAGCAGGAGUGCAUCCCAAAGAUUCUUUGUUUAAACAUCCCAGGUCUGAUGCGAAGACGGAGGUGAAGCAGGGUGAGAAAGUCGUUCGAACGCGGCAGAUGUUUAUGUUCAGUACUGAAGCAAGAAUUUGAAGAUAAAUAAUUGAGAUGGACAAUCCGGGUCCUUUUUAUCCACACUUUAUCAAGUAAUUUGUGACGAC